AAAAUUAGGCAAUUUAACAAUUUAUAUAACGAAAAUAUUAAAUACGCAACCAUUUGUGCAAAACUUUUCGGCAUCGAUUUUAUAUUAUUCGCAAAUUUAAACUGGCAAAAACAACGCAGGGGGAAAAUAAAAGUGGGGGAUAGUAAUCCGUUUAAAUACUAUUAUAUUUGGUCGCAUGGAAAACCAACAUAUUAGGACCAGUAAUAAAAACGGCCAUCCAGCUAAAAAUAAAUUAAUUUACACAAUAAUAAUAUUAAUUAUAUUCCUGUAUUUUGCCAUAAUAUUAUUUCCAUAUUAAGGUACCAAUUUUAUUAACCCUAUUUAUUUUAUCCAAAUUUUUUUCCCGUCAUUUUAUUAUUAUAUUCGAAACGCAAUGGCAUUUUAUUUUUUCCCAACAAAAUUAUACUGGCGAUAUUACCAGUGGAAAAAAAUAAAGGUUUCCUUCAAAUUGGCAAUUUCGCGAUUAACUUUUUUGCGUUGGAUUAUAACCUCCGGGUUUUUAUAAACAAUUUAAUCGAUUUGUUUCUUAAUAAAAGCGGCGACGAAACUGGAAUUAAAAGCCGUAAAAGGUGCCUUCCCAGAAAUAUUUAGGAAUUGGCGUGCGACCAGGCGAGUUACAUUUUCGACAAAACGUAUCGAAAUAACCUUAUAAUAAUUAUUAAAUACGCCGUGGAUUUUUGUAAAUAUUUGCCCAAUUUUAUUUUGUUUUUAAAUAAAUAUAACUUUAAAUUGCGCCUUAUUAAGGCGUAUUUUUGCAUUUUCGGUCAAAUUAUUACCGUCCCCGUUAAACGUUUUUUUAACCCUGGCGCGAAGACCAAUAUAUAAUUUAGGAUUAAUACGGUAAAUAAAAGUAGUGCGCUCGCGUUUAGCAAAAAACCUAGUUAUUUUUUCGGCCUUUUAGUAGCAUAUUUCGAUUUCCUUGGCUAAAUAAUUCUGCAAUUUGUUGCGGAUCGUCGUGGGACAAACCUCGAUUAUAACGGUUUCGAUAAAACCCUGUACCGCGAUAAUAUAAAUUUAAAUAUAUAUUAAGGCCAACGUCUCCCAAUCUUUUAACUUUUUUUGGAAGAUUUUAAUAAUUAAACGAUUAAAGGUUUCGAAAUCCGUUCCCUGUUGGUCGGUGCGAACCGUUUUAAUAUAUUUUAACCUAUUCGGGUUAAUAUUACCAAAAUUAAACCUUGCGUUUAUAAUAUUUUUAUAUUCCCUCGCCGAAUUAAACAAAUUUUGAAUAUGCCGAAAGUUCGUUUGUUUGUUUAAAAGCUAAUUUAUAAUAGGAAAAAUAAUACGUAAAAUCGUCCCGGCCUAACAAAUGGAAUUAAAAAUUGGCCGAUUGUUUUUAAAAUUUUCGUUACCGCCUAAUAGUUCGGAAUAAAACUUUGGAUUAAUUGCCGUAUAAUAUAAUUCCUUUUCAACUCCGAAAGCAUUUUGGUUUUUAUUAUAAUCGAUUCGGCUUUUAUAAAAAAUGGUUUUAACGAAUUGGUUAUCCAACCUACCGAAAUAUUUUUUCAAUUGGUUUUAAAGUUUUUUAAAUUCCAAUAUAUAAUUAUUUGCAAUUUUUUGGAAAAUUUCGGCAAAGGCGAAAAAAUAUUAACGCCGCGAUUUUAAAUUACCCAAAUUUACUCGAAAAAACUCGAGGUUAUAAAACUGGCGGGUAAUUUUAUUCCUUAUAUCGUACCAAAAUAAGUUAAUAUGGCAGAGGAGGAGGUUAAAUACCUUUAUCCUCAAUUCGUGCAUUCCAACUUUGUGGAAACGUUUUACCUCGGACCAGGGGGCCUGUAAAAAGAAGCUGUUUUCUAACGCCCGCCCUUGGGCGGCCGUUAUAUUAUUAUUCGGGCCGCGAUUUUUUAACAUAUAAUAACCCAGGUUCAAAUCGUUUUCCAUAAUAUAAUAACCAAUGGUAUUUUUUUGCGUAUGCUUUUCGAUAACAAAAUCGGAUUUAAUAAAAACUUCUAUUGUUUUAAAGCCCAUUUCGUCGGCCUUUUUCGUAAAAUUGAUAAUUUUUUGGGUAACCAAAAAAAAAUUCGCAGGAACGACAGCCAGGAUAUUAGGCAGAACUUUCAGCAUUUGUUAUAAUUAAAAAAACUGCUAUUUUUUUUUACACUGUCCUCGGACCCUCUAUAUAAUUUGUAACCAUAUUACGCACCAAAGCAAUAUCGCUUGCAAUUGUUAUAUUUUAAUUGCAAAAGCAGUUAAUUUUGGUCCAACCAGCAUAUUAGGGCUAAAAUAGCUUAUUUUGCCACAAAUAUCUUUGUAAAAAAAACCUGGUAUAUUAAUUAUUACUAUAUUUUCGCUCGGAAGUCGUUAAAUAUAUGUUGUUUACGUGCGCAAAAUUAAUAUUAUACCUACCUCUGGGCCGCAUAUUUUUAUAUUUAACGUAUAUUCGCUAAAUGCAAAACGUGAAUUUGCCUGGCCAAUUCCGAAGGCCUUGUUGGCAUUUUUAAAAAUUUCGGCCAUUUUCUCGCUGUCGAAAUCCGCGUUUAUUAAACGAGCAAACUUUUUUAAACUGGCCACCUCGUUGGAAGACGCAUUCGUAUUAGCAAUUGCAAUAAUUUUGACGCUUUUCACAUCCUGUUUGCAGCAGAUUAUUUUCGUAAAAUAACGACUGAAAAAUGUAACAUUGCGAGGCAAGGUAACACCGGUAAAACUUUCAACAAUUAAACUUUUCCCAAAAUUUUGCCCGCCAAUAAUAACGACCUACAGGCAAAUAAUUAGCAAUAAUAAUAACAAAACGCCAUCGAGGUUAAUUAAACUAACAAAAAAACAAAAAAAAAACAAUAAAUGUGGAGUAUAAUACCUGAAAAAAAAAUAUUUAAAUUCCAAUCAAUUUUCGGACCUGGUAAUUUAAUCCUGGGUUAUAAUAGGAAGGAUUGUUAACCUUUAUGGCGUCCGCGUCCGUUUUGUUAUAUAUUUCGUUUUCCAUAGUUUUGUUAUCGAAAUUUGGAUUAUAAUAAUUUUAAAUACAAUAUAAUAAUAAAUUCGCCGCUAAUCGACAUUUUUUACGGACAUUAUAUUUAAAUAUUGGGACGCCCAAAUGGUCCCACUAAAAUUCGGGAAAUAAGAACCUGGAAAUUGAAAAGGGCGAAAUUGGGCCCGAUACCGAUUUGGUUUUUGGUUACGCCCAUUCCGGGUGCGUGAAACUUAAAAAGCUUAAAAUUAGGAGUUGGUAACUGCGCCACGGAUUUAAAUAAUCCUUAACCCUCGUUUAAUUAUACCGACAUUGGUUUAGGAUUACAAUAUGGCCAUACGGGAAAUUCGAAAAUAAUAUUUUCAAUCAUUUUCCUGUUAUUAAAUUUGCUCGCACCUGAAAUAAACCAGAAUAAAAUAUUUAAUUACCAGGGUAAACCUUGGUUUAGCUAAUCGUUUUUAACCGUGGUAUGGUUUUACAAUUAAUUUCCCCCAACAAAAAAAUAUUUAUAAUAAAAGCCAUAUAGUGGCUAAUAUAAGGAUACCGCCUUUGUUAUAAAAAAACACCAGUUCCAAAUUUACCUAUUUUCGGACCAGGCCCUUUUUUAGUAUUUAAAUAUGUCGGCCGUGGACCAGUUUCCUGUUUUCCGCCCGGCGACUUAAACCGACGCAAACUAUAAAAAAGCAUAUUUCCAUUUUAAUAUAAAAAUAGCAAUAACAAUCCAAUAGCCAGACCAUAGCCGUUCGUCAUCCCCAAAUCCCAGCAAAUAUAUUUACCAUUUUUUUUACGGUUUUUCAAUGCAUUUGUUACGUUAGGAUAAAAAAGCACAAUUUGAACCGCAUUAGCGAUCGCUACAGUUUAAAAUAUAAAUAUGGACCUGCUAAUCGAUACGCGCAAAAAAUGCACGAAGUCGUAUAUAACCACGGAAAACCAAAACAUAUCCAAUAAUAGCUCGGGCUAUCCAAAAACCCCACCUAAUAAUACCACGACAAAGUCGAAUAUCGAUUUGCAAAAUUAAAAGCCUCAAACCAAAAAAAUAAAAAUUAUUAUCGGAAUUCGCAACCUUUACCCCAAUUAAAUGUAAAAUAGUUUUAAUUUUUCGAGCCGGUUUUUAAAAUAUUUGGGUUUUAUAAUUUAAUACGAUUGGUUUACGGUUUUGGGAACAAAAAGCUCAAAUUUUAAUUGUAAAGGUGAUAAGUUGUUAAUUUUUGUUUUUGGGUUGGUGUAUAAAUUAGUCCACGUUCCGGUUUGGGAUUAAUUUCCACUGCAAAUAUAUGGAAAUUAUAUAAUUUUAACAAACGCUAUUAUAACAAAAUAACCAAUAUAUAAUACCGUAGCGCCUAUAUUUUAUUUUGCAAACGGGUUACCUAUAUCGCUUCCAUUAUUUACAUCUGUCGUAUUAUAUUUCCUCCCACUAUCCCAUUCUCCCAACACGAAAGAAAUAAUAUUAAACGUACAAUCCAUUUUAAAUUGCUUUUGCGGCAAUAGCGCGUUUCCGUUACAUAAUGGACAAAUUUCCGCCUUUUGGUAAUUACACUUUGGGGGUUGCAAUAUUUAUUUUAAACUAUUUAACUUAUUUAUAUAUCGCGUUUAAUUUCUCCUUUAAUAUAGCAAUUUCGACGUUUUUAUUUUUAAUUUCUUAAUAAUACCACUCUUUAACCGCGGCGUUUUCGUCCUCGCUCUCCUUAAAUUCAAACCCGAGUGCCGUUUUUAAUAUCUCGUUCGUCGAAAUGCAAUUCCGCAGCUAAAUAUUGGUAUCCGAAACAGCGGAAAAUUUCGAUUCGAAUUUUUGGUUUUAAUCCCAUAACAUUUUGUAAUUUUCGAAAAAAUUACUAUAAUUUUGAAAUAUUUUGUUAUAUUUCCGGCGGGAGGUUUCGAUUAAAUAAAUUGCAUUCCACAAAUAACGGUUAAUUGCGUUAUAUAUAUCCUAGCCGAAUUAGCGACGAAAAUAAAAAAUUAUUAAUAUGCGUACCGUCUAUCCGUUGGCCUCCAGCGUGGGUUUUUGCGAACCGGUUAUAAAGAUAUUUGGCAUAUUGCAUUCCAUCCGGACUGGCGAUAUUGCGCACGGCGGGCUUUCAAACCUUGGGUUUAUACUUUGUUUGCUCGCUGGAACGUCAAAUAUGGGUAUUUAACAAUUGACCAAAAGUUUUGGUUGAAAAAAACUAAUUUUGUAAAAAAGUUCGAUUUUAAUAAACCAAUUAUGCAAUAAAAACUCCGGUUAAAUUAUGCCGGGAGGGUUAAAUAUAUCUUUUGUCGUUAUUUGGCUUUUGAUUUUUUCGAUAUUUUAAUACCAGUUUUAUUUUCGUUUAUUUCCCAAAAGCUGUCCGGUAUAUGGGCCAAUUUUUGGGUUCCGUCGCCUGGUUUUAUUUUUUAUUUAUCCGUCCCUGUUUCCGAUUGCAAAACCUUCCUUUUAUUUUGUUUAAUUUCUUUUUUACUUGUGGUAAAUAUAUUUUUCCGCCAGCAAUUUAAUUUUAAAUUUUUAUUUUAUUUUGUUAAAGUGGAUUUGUGUUUUUUAUAAAUAGAAAUUUUCCCAGAUUCCGCGGCCUUAUAUUAUAAAUUGACAAUUUGUUAUUUUAAUAAUUUAUUUACAAAUUCCCUUUUUUUAUACAAAAUAUUUUCAAUUGCCCAUUGGUUAAUUGUCAAUUA
rnacentral:sRNA from 1 species